rnacentral:rRNA from 1 species
GGCGAACGGGUGCGUAAUGCAUGGGAAUCUGCCUAGUAGUGGGGAAUAACCCGGCGAAAGCCAGGCUAAUGCCGCAUACGACCUACGGGUGAAAGCGGGGGAUCGCAAGACCUCGCGCUAUUAGAUGAGCCCAUGUCGGAUUAGCUAGUUGGUAGGGUAACGGCCUACCAAGGCGACGAUCCGUAGCUGGUCUGAGAGGACGGCCAGCCACACUGGGACUGAGACACGGCCCAGACUCCUACGGGAGGCAGCAGUGGGGAAUUUUGGACAAUGGGGGCAACCCUGAUCCAGCGACGCCGCGUGUGUGAAGAAGGCCUGCGGGUUGUAAAGCACUUUCGUUGGGAACGAAAUAUGCCGACCUAAUACGUCGGUAGGCUGACGUUACCCAAAUAAGAAGCACCGGCUAACUCUGUGCCAGCAGCCGCGGUAAUACAGAGGGUGCGAGCGUUAAUCGGAAUUACUGGGCGUAAAGCGCACGUAGGCGGCUAUGUAAGUCAGGUGUGAAAUCCCCGGGCUCAACCUGGGAACUGCAUUUGAGACUGCAUGGCUAGAGUAUGGGAGAGGAAGGCGGAAUUCC